GGUUGUGUAAGGGCCCAAUUUGCUGGCUACUCUGCCUAAAAUGUUGAGGUGUACUUGGUUGAGAAAAAGAAGAAGGUGAGGAAGACAUUUGAGGGUGGUUUUCUGACAGGGAGACGUGUUGUGAUUUUUUAUUCAAUGCUUCGUGGUGGGGAUCUGGUCCACUUUGCUGGCUAUCGUGCUCAGAAUGUAGAGCUGUACUUGGUUGAGAAUUAGAAACAGGUGAGGAGGACGACGCCAGUGUGUUG
rnacentral:misc_RNA from 1 species